rnacentral:misc_RNA from 1 species
GAUGAAGAACGCAGCGAAAUGCGAUAAGUAGUGUGAAUUGCAGAAUUCAGUGAAUCAUCGAAUCUUUGAACGCACAUUGCGCCCCUUGGUAUCCCGAGGGGCAUGCCUGUUCGAGCGUCAUUUCACCACUCAAGCCUGGCUUGGUGUUGGGCGACGUCCCCUUUGGGGACGCGCCUCGAAACGCUCGGCGGCGUGGCACCGGCUUUAAGCGUAGCAGAAUCUUUCGCUUUGGAAGUCGGGGCCCCGUCUGUCGGAAGACCUACUCGCAAGGUUGACCUCGGAUCAGGCAGGGAUACCCGCUGAACUUAAGCAUAUCAAUAAGCGGAGGA